rnacentral:rRNA from 1 species
AUGAACGCUGGCGGCGUGCCUAAUACAUGCCAGUCGCGCGAACAGACGAGGAGCUUGCUCCUCUGACGUUAGCGGCGGACGGGUGAGUAACACGUGGAUAACCUACCUAUAAGACUGGGAUAACUUCGGGAAACCGGAGCUAAUACCGGAUAAUAUAUUGAACCGCAUGGUUCAAUAGUGAAAGACGGUUUUGCUGUCACUUAUAGAUGGAUCCGCGCCGCAUUAGCUAGUUGGUAAGGUAACGGCUUACCAAGGCAACGAUGCGUAGCCGACCUGAGAGGGUGAUCGGCCACACUGGAACUGAGACACGGUCCAGACUCCUACGGGAGGCAGCAGUAGGGAAUCUUCCGCAAUGGGCGAAAGCUUGACGGAGCAACGCCGCGUGAGUGAUGAAGGUCUUCGGAUCGUAAAACUCUGUUAUUAGGGAAGAACAAAUGUGUAAGUAACUAUGCACGUCUUGACGGUACCUAAUCAGAAAACCACGGCUAACUACGU